UGUCGGGUCCCAAAACACGUGGUCUAAAAUCCUUUGGGCUCCUGUUGCUGCCAGCACUGAGAAUAUGCUCUUGACCCUGGGCGGGGUGGGCGGGGGUGGGGAGGUCUGGAUACUUCCUCUAUGGAAAGAACUGGUCACAAAACCGCAGAGGUGACUCAGGCUGAGAACCCAGGCUCCUCUUUCCCUUGGUGACACGCCCCUCGGUCCCUCACUGGCACUUCUCCCUCUGGCCACACGGCGGCGUCUCGCGGGAGUGCAGCGGCCGAUGGUACAGCUCGCUCCCCCCUCGCGCCUGGGACAGUGGGUCCUUCCACUUCUAGAAAAGCAUUGUGGGACGGCAGUGCGGCCUUUCUUCCUUUUGGUGCGAGCUUGGUGUGGUUUUCUCGCUGGGUCUUCCGGGAUGGCUCGUGGCUGUGGCCGCGUGGUCUCUCACGCCGGGGCGCGGGGCGGGGGAACGCGGCCACCCUGAGUCUGGUGAGUCGACUGCGGCGGCCGGACAGUGUCCGAAGUGUCCGGGGCCGUGAACGCGUGAAGGGUAGCGGCCUGGCCUCGCGCCUGCGUUCCCAAGCUUGGAAACCGGGGAGCUGGGGGAUUUGUGUUUAGAUCAUCGACUAUGCCAGGGAGUGCUCCAGAUAAGCCUGGUUUUAUUUUCGUUAGUGAAAAGGCCUUACCUGACUUUAUGCCUGCCCUGCCCUCGGGUAAAAUAACUUAAAAGCUGAGGGCCUGGUUACGGCUGUUUACAUAUGCGGUACUCGGAGGGAGUGAUCGAUCACCUACCCUGCAGGUGGAAGAUGGAUGCCUGAAGUGUAGACUGCUGCUAGCUGAAUACCAUCUGGGAGCACAAAGGUGACCUGAAGGAUGUCCUUGGUGAAGAGUUUGAAAAUUUGGUCUUCACAAGAGUUGCCUGGCUCAUUUGAAAUUGCUGGGAGUCUGAGGAUUUCUGACAUAAUUGCCUGUUGGAGUCUGUAAAUACACACUUAAGACAGUGAGGAUGUGAAUAUAUUAAUGCACUUUG